GAUGGAGCAGUCUGGUAGCUCGUCGGGCUCAUAACCCGAAGGUCGUUGGUUCAAAUCCAGCUCCCG
rnacentral:ncRNA from 20 species